AUCGAUAAGGGGAGACAGCCACUCGGACGACAGAGCGCUCGGACGACUUUGUAAACAAGCCAUUUACCACUCUGUCGACAUUGUAAACAAACUAUAUAUAGCUAAUCCAUGACGUAGGCAGCUCUCAGCGCUCCAGAUGCGUAAUAAUUUUAUUUUUCGGAAAAGAUGUGAAAUGAAAUGAAUCUAUGGAUAUAGUUUAUACUUGUCCUCUGAAUUAUAAUUUCUCUGAACGUUGGACAAGACAUCCAUAGGAGUUUAUUCAUGAAAUAAAUUUCCACACUUCUAUAGAAAAUCAAGUGACACGAGUUUUGUGAGAAAAUAGGAAAAUAGUUUGGAUUGAUGGAUUUUGGAACUGAAAUUUGGACAUAACGAGUUUAGGAACGGUUUACUAUUGAGAAAUCAGAUCAGGUACCAAGAUCAUGAGCUGGAAAAUAUAAAUUCAGCAUAACUUAAUACAUUUUUAUUUUAUUUUCAGGAAUAAGUCAAUGAUAUAUAAAAUUAAAAUCAGAAUAAUAGAUAUUUAUUUUUUCCUCCAAAAAUAAGUAAAAAUGUAGUAUGAAAAAACAAUCAGAUAGAUUUUGUAUAUUCUCUUGAGUAAUAUUCAAAUACCAAGGCAUAAAAUUACAAUCAUCAACAUUUGUAAGAAACAAAUUUAUGAAGAGUCUCAUAAUAGAAACGACAGAAAAAAAUGAUAUGCAAUAAUAUAAAAAUUCAAAGAAGGAAAUACGGUAGUUUGUUUUCAGAUGUUCAUAUUUUUUUAUUAAAUCAAUAAGUCAAUGCAGUAUGUAAAAUUACAAUCAUCAAAAUUUGUAAGAAACAUGUAGUGAGAUUCUCAUAAUAUAAACGACAAAACGAAAAUUGUAUACAAUAAUGAUAUAAAGAAUUAAAAUAAAGAAAUAGUUUGCUUUCAGAAGUUCAGCAUGUCAUCAUUUUACUUCUAAUGAAUUCUUGUAAAGUACUGUGAAAUUACAAUCAUCAAAAUUUGAAAGAAACAUUCAGAAGAAGUUUCAUUAUAAAAAUGAAUAAAAACAAAAAUACAGUAAUAAUAAUAUUUAGAAAAUUCAAAAAAUGAAUAGUUUAUUUUCAGGGGUGUGGUGUGUAUCAUGUCACAGUCCCAAAAUAUUUCCCAAAUGUUUAUCAACUUGGAUAAACAACAUUAUUAUAAUCCAAUUGCAAUGUCAAAUAAAGAAUUCAUUUUUUCAUUAUUUAACCUGCAAACUUAGGUCAAGUGAUCAUAAUGCACAAUGGAACUGAAGCCACAAGUGAAAUAGAAAAUGUAGUUGGACAUAUACAGUACGAGCUUUGAUUCAGUAAAUGUACAUGGAUAUUUUCUUCAUGGUAUUUUCGAAUAGAGAAUUUUUCUCAAAAGAAUAUUAAUUUUUGAAAAACUUAUUCGUUUAAAAAAACUCAAUUUCAGUAUUUUUAUUUAUAUUUAAUAUUAUUGAUUACCUACUUAUUCCAUUAUCUCACAAAAGUAAUAAUCAGAAAAAAGUUUUAGGCCUACCGUACUGUUUUUGCACAAUCUUAAAAAAAUGAUACCCCACUUCAUCAUAAUAUAAUGUGACGGGGUAAUAAAUAAUAUUUAAUGAUAUAUAAAUAGUAUUUAAAUCAAUAAAAAUUAUUAUUGAUAUAUAGACUAGUAGUAUCAAUAAAAAACUUUUAUGGAGGAACAACCAAAAUAAAUUCCUGUUGCCAUAAUUAUAUAAUAGCUUACUAUAAUAGGAAACAAUCAAAGCAAAAUAUUCACGUUUUCAAUUAUUUUACUGACCUGGGCAAUAGUAAUUUUAGUGAAACCCUUCAUACUCCAAUAUCGCUAUAUACAUCAUCUACUUCUGAUCAAAGAAAUAAUGAGACUAUAAAAUAUUAUUCAUUGACCGAGCAAAGCGAGGUCCAAGAUUCAAGUUGACUGUUUUGCUUUUCUCUUGAUGUGUGUUCCGCAUUUACAGCGAAACACUGUAUUUACAGCCUGGUUGCACAAAAUCCGGUUAAAUUUUAACCGUGAUUAAUUUCACGAGAACCAAUCAGAGAAGACCUUUUUGAUGAGACGGCUUCUCUGAUUGGUUCUCGUGGAAUUAAUCACAAUUAAAACUUGACCGGCUUUCUAGUUUUUGGAAAAUUUAAUUUGAACGUGGACUAUGUCCCAUUUUGACAAGCAAAUUUUCCAACUCCAGCUGUUUAAAGUAUAGAACUUAACUAAAUCUCGAGCUCGGAAACCGGUCCUUAAUGCCCUUAGGCAUUAAAAACCAAUUUGCAAAAAUAGACGAAAUACAGCUGACUCAAUUUG
rnacentral:lncRNA from 1 species